CCCUAUUCCUCGGGGGGGAGCUUGGGAUCGUCGGGGUUCUCGAAAGGGGGGAGGAGGAGCACGACAACGAAGGAGAGGGAGCGAGCAAGAGCGGGAGACGUAGAACGACUGCGACGGCAGCGGCGCGUGUCGAGCUUGGGGCGCCGGUGGCCGGAAGGGAGCUACACGGUGGUUCAGGUCGGUGAGGGGGAAGCGGGAGAUGUGGCAGUCCACGUAGGGCAACCUCAACCCUCGGAGACGUGGCUGGGGAAGAAGAUGGAGCCCUGCGGCCGGCGGUAGUAGUCUAAGCGGCGGCAGUUCGGGAGGGGCUGAAGUGGCUGAGGAGGCGACGUUGGUGCUGUAGCUCCGGUUGCGGCGACGAUGGCUCAUGCUGAUGCCACAACUACUGGGGAGAGAGAACGAUCUCGUUGGUCC
rnacentral:rRNA from 1 species